GGAAUAUUGGACAAUGGGCGAAAGCCUGAUCCAGCAAUGCCGCGUGAGUGAUGAAGGCCCUAAGGUUGUAAAGCUCUUUUACCCGGGAUGAUAAUGACAGUACCGGGAGAAUAAGCUCCGGCUAACUCCGUGCCAGCAGCCGCGGUAAUACAGAGGGGGCGAGCGUUGUUCGGAAUUACUGGGCGUAAAGGGCGCGCAGGCGGCUGCUCAAGUCAGGCGUGAAAGGCCUGGGCUCAACCCGGGAAUUGCGCUUGAGACUGAGCUGGCUUGAGUGCGGGAGAGGAUGGUGGAAUUCCCAGUGUAGAGGUGAAAUUCGUAGAUAUUGGGAAGAACACCGGUGGCGAAGGCGGCCAUCUGGACCGUAACUGACGCUGAGGCGCGAAAGCCAGGGGAGCAAAC
rnacentral:rRNA from 1 species